GCCUCUUCCUGCCUCUCACUAGCUUCAUCCCUUCCUCCCUAAAUUUUAGUCUGGGAGGGAAGGAGCUAUUGGUGGUCAGGAAUAGCG
rfam:Physcomitrella patens subsp. patens PHYPAscaffold_625 genomic scaffold, whole genome shotgun sequence.